rnacentral:tRNA from 1 species
UUUUUUCUAGUUUAUUUAUUUUAAAAACAUGGAUGUUGUAAGUCCAAGAAGAAUUAUAUUCGAAAAAAUA